rnacentral:rRNA from 1 species
GUGGAUUAGAUACCCUGGUAGUCCACGCCCUAAACGAUGUCAACUAGUUGUCGGGUCUUAAUUGACUUGGUAACGCAGCUAACGCGUGAAGUUGACCGCCUGGGGAGUACGGUCGCAAGAUUAAAACUCAAAGGAAUUGACGGGGACCCGCACAAGCGGUGGAUGAUGUGGAUUAAUUCGAUGCAACGCGAAAAACCUUACCUACCCUUGACAUGUCUGGAAUCCCUGAGAGAUUAGGGAGUGCUCGAAAGAGAGCCAGAACACAGGUGCUGCACGGCCGUCGACAGCU